AAUGCUCCCAGUGCCAAUGGCUCAGGGAGCCACGGCGGCUGCUGCUGGACCAGCGAGAAACCCAGAAGGAGCAUUGCAGGCACUGCAAGGACAGCUCACGGCUCUGCCUGCUCCCGCCGCUGCUGCUUCCUCUGCUCCCCCAGAGAGGCGUUUCCAGCAGCUCGGCUAUCUCGGGGCUGCGCCGUGCUCUCUCACUCUUCCUCACUCAGCAAACACGCAGCUUGCUCUCGCCAUGCACCUCGCCUCUCUCAUCCUCACCCUCUUCCUGGGACAGCUCCUGGGCACCACGGGGCAGAUCACGGUCACCCAGGACGAUGGACAAGUCCUCGUGAAGCAGGGACACCCCUUCCAGACCACCUGCAAAUACCAGACCAGUGAUUUUAAUGCCUUGUCCUGGUACGAGCUGCGGCAAGGCCAAGCCCCACAGCUGCUCUCCUAUCAAGCAGGCUCUGGCCCCAAGCACAGCGGCCGGAUCACCACGCACCUGAACACCACGGGGAAAUACAGUGUCCUGAAGGUGGAGGAAGUGCAGCUCUCUGACACUGCCUUGUACCUCUGUGCUGUGACAGACACCCCGGUGCAGGGAGCGUCCCCGGCUGUGCAACAACCCAGGGGAGGGACGGAGGGAGGGGAGGUGUCUGUGCAGGGCUGAGGCUGGGAAAAGGACGCUGCGCUCAGCCCAGGGCUCACCUGAUGUUGCAUCCCCACGGCUGUACAAUGCUCUGAUGAUUUUGCACCACAUCCAUCCUAGCGAAUUAUCGAAAAAGAGUUUCUCAUUGUUUUGACUCAUCACUACAUUGUGCAGAAUCGUAGUAAAGAGGAGUUUCCCCUG